AUUUAUCAAUUCUGCCACCCUAACCCCUCUCUCCUCUCCCUCCAUUGGACCGCCGCCGCCACCUACGGCGGCCGAUCCCGCCGCGACCUCCCCUCCCCUCCCACCUCAAGCCGCUCCUCCUCGCUUUCGUGGAUGACCACCUGCUCCCGCCGUUCGCGCCCGCGUGCCUGCUCCUCAUCUCCUCGCUCCUCGCCCGCGUAUCGCAGAGCAUCUCAUGGCGUCCCCGGCGCGGCCAGCCUCCGUCUCUGGCCCCUUCGGCUCCGCCGCCGACCUCACCAUCUUCUCCACUCCGACCACGACGCGGCGGGCGGAUCCGGGCCGUGCGAGCGAGACGGCGGCCAGAUCCUCGAUGGCGAGGACACGCAGCGGUCCCCGCCGGCCAAAUCAGCAUCGACGGCGCGUGCUCAAAGCCGAGAUCCGCCGCGCCAAGGCCAAGCUCCUUGAGGAGGAUCCACCCAAGCUACACGCCGGCCAUAGCCCCCCACCAGUGAAUCUUUUCCGGCCCCGUACGUCCCCACCAGCGAAGGCGACGUCCUCACGCGGAUUCGCGUCCUCCUCCCAAAGUAGCCGCCCCCGGCGAGCCAUCCUAGUGGCCAGAGGAGGUGGAGGAGCACCUUCCUCCUCUCCCCCAGCGCGUGGGCCAGUGGCUGCUUCCUCUUCCCCGCCUAGAGAACGGGGUGAUAUUCCCCUCUCUGCCUCCAGAUCCAAAUCGAAGUUUUUCUAUAUGCAUUUAGCCUCCGCUGAAUCUUUGAGUUCCAGUUUCAUUUGCGUGUACUUAUUACAAUUGGUUUGUGUCAAUGCAACCUUAGUCCAGAUACCAUCGUUCCCAGAGAAUUCAAAUUUCAGUUAGUUCAUGUCAGUGUGGCCUUAUUAGCAUGAUUCGACCAUGAAUCCUUGAUAUUAUCUAGUGCGGCCAAUGGGUUACUCGUGGUACCGAUUACUCUUAUGAAAUGGACAGUGCCACGUGCAAAUGAACUCAAACAUUUUAUUUUAUUUUGCGGGUACUUUGAGUCUUGACCAUCCCAGGUCUGAACCCUGCAACGCAACACAACACUGGUAUAGUGCAUGCAUCCUAUUAAUGCGAAGGUUUCAUAUAUAGAUUGAUAAUCCAUGUGACUUUGACUGAAUUGUUGAGUUAGUAUAUACUUGACCGUCUCCGUCUGGCGCCCACACUCCCUCACACUACGCGUCUUCAUCCACUAGGAUGGACAUGCGCUACGCAUUUUACGUAGUAUACAUCUAUGGCGAGGCAGUCAGUAAUCGUGGCUGAGUCAUCGAUACUCACCUAGCAGCCACUUGUUGGCCACUUGAUUCAGAGUUUCAAACCAUAUAACCAUGCUUUAGAAGGCUAUAUUUGGUAAUCACCCAAAAUGCCUCUCUUUUUUUAGCUGAUGAAUCGUCCUACAUGCACAGUUUGCUUGAUGUCCGUGUGUAUCCAGAUUCCAGAAUGUUUGAUUGCAACAUUCUAUUGAAGAUAGAAGUAUAGGACCAACGUACAUGAUCUGGAACCUUUUGGUUUCGAUUAGUUGCUGCUGCUGAUUUAAUGCCUAUGCUCACGCUGCCGUUGAUUAAAUGCUUAUGUUGUUGCUGCAUGCUUAUGCUACUGAUUCAAUGCUUAGGAAUUGAUUGAAUUGAACCUGUUGUAAUCCUUCAUGCUCUACUUUUAUUUAAUUUUUGGGUUUCUAUUUGAUUUUUAGUAUAUUAUAUACGGUUCAUCUUCAGUUUCUUCUGUAACUUGCUUGGAGCUUAGAAUACACAGCCCAACUAGUCUCAUAUACAACCAAGACCAAUGAUUCAUGCUGAAUUCUGUAUAUAUAUGUAUGUGUUGGAUUGGAGAACCACUCGAGGAGGGAGGGAGGAAGCAUGGAAGGUCACCAUGGACCUCGCCCAACUCCCACCCAUCUUCCUGCCUGCAGCUGUAGGCCAAAUAAAGGAUGUUGUUCUCGGUGGAGUUGCGCUUGAGGAUGAGCAGAGAGAGAAAUUUAAUCAAAUCCAAUAGCUUCACUCGUGUCUGCCACUGCUCAUUGUCGUGUUGACAGAGCGUUCACCCGAUGGCGGAAUACCACGCCGCAGCGUGGGCAAUCGGUGGUUGCGCUAUAUACGUGAGUGACAAACCUGAAAACCAUGACUUCGAUCUGCUGAGGAAGCUUGUGUUUCCUGAUGGAUCAAUCCUGCGAGCCAAACUGCCCGGGAGACAAACUGCACUACCGUUGUCGCGGAAAUUCCGUGUGAUGGAAGCUUCUAGAGCCUGCUGGUACUUCCUAGCCAGAAGCCCCACGAGCUCGACGUCCAGCCCUACAACCACCACCCCACGCACAAGUAGGUGCUUUGCUCUUGCUCACGUGUAGCACCAUCUCCGACGCGGUGGUGCUAGUAGCAGAUGUGCCAUAAUUCAUGUGUAAGGAAAUGUAUUCCUGAGAUGAUUUUGUUAUGUUAUCUAAACCUGGGAGAUGUGUUAUGUGAUGUGAUAUGAUGGAUGAUUUGAAUUCGA